CUUAGGUGAACUACUUGGAAACUGCACACCACAGCCUCUGUUUUCAACAGAGUUCAGUCACCUCUUGAGGGCUCUUCUGAUUCUUAUCUUGGUAGACCAUCUCCUCAAGGAUUUCUGCAGGUGAAUACACUGGUGAAACAAUGCCCAAGAGCAUGGCCAGGAGAUUUGAGGAGCAGACACAUCUGGUUCAUAGGUGGAAGGAGCUCGGACUUUGGACUUUGGACUCAAUGUUGGAAUCAGUCAAGACAUUGGGAGGACUGUUGGGAAGAGAUGAUUCUAUUUUGCAAUGCAAGGACAUGAGAUUUAGGGGUCGGGGUAUAAUGAUAUAGUUGGGAUGUUCCCUCCAAAUCUCUUGUUGAAAUGUAAUCCCCAGUGUUGAAGGAGGGGCCUGCAGGGAGGUGUUUGGAUCAUGGGGGUGGAUCCCUCAUGACGGGCUUAGCACCCUCCCCUUAGCGAUGAGUGCGUUCACUCAGAUCUGGUUGUUCACAAGUCUGCAGCCUCUCCUCACCCCUUGCUCCCACUCUCACCAUGUGGCGUGCCCACUCCUGCUUCACCUUCCGCCGUGAGGAAAAGCUCCCUGAGGGCCUCCCCAGAAGCUGAGCAGAGGUGGGUGCCAUGAUUGUGCAGCCUGCAGAACCGUGAGCCAAUCUAACCUCUUUCCUUCAUAAAUUACCCAGCCUCCAGUAUUUCUUUACAACAAUGCGAAACUGAGACUAGCAUGAGUAAAAUACAAAGACCAUGGAUAACUUUUGAAAUCUAAAAACAUAAAAUUAAUAUUAUCUGGGGGAGUCAACACAGGAAAGAUGAGAGCGCUUGGGCAGAGGCUGUUGACCAUUGGUCACAUGUGGUCAGCAGAGAGCAGGUGACCAGCACCCUGGGGCUUUGUGGGAAGCACCAGACAGCCUGGAGCUGAGGUAUUACUUGUAGGGGCCAAAACAAAUAGGGAAAAAGACAAAUUUAGCACACAAAGAAAGCAGAUGCUCAACUGAGCCAGGAGGAAGUCACUAGCAAAGAGGGAAAAAACAGAGCUCUGGAAAAAUAGUGUAAACAGUCACAAGGAAGGGACCCUGUAUUGUGCCUGACCUCUGGACAGGGAUAUAAAGAGCCCGGGCUCAGGGAGCUCCACACCUGCACCUCCCUCUCACCUGCUCCUCUACCUGCUCCACCCUCAAUCCACCAGAACCAUGGGCUGCUGUGGCUGUUCCGGAGGCUGUGGCUCUGGCUGUGGGGGCUGUGGCUCCGGCUGUGGGGGCUGUGGCUCU